CCCUCCGUAGCUCAGUGGCAGAGCGUUCGGCUGUAGACAAUGUCUAAGGCAGAUAUUCCGCAUGUUGGAAACUAAAUGAAGCCUGAAAAGCCGAGCAGAACCCGAAAGAUCCCCGGUUCGAGUCCGGGCGGAGGGA
rnacentral:tRNA from 1 species